GAAAAGUACUAAAAAACGGGUUUUCCAUUGUAGCCAAAUUUAAGCGAAAGUUUGCAGGAAAUUGAUUCGUAUGUUUAUAUCAAAACCCAGAGAUAUCCAUAUGAUUAUAUUUAUAUUGUUAAGAACACGCAAGAAAAUUGACCCCUUAAAUGUAUGUGUAAUUUCUCAUACUUUUCUAAAAGACGCCUUCUCAUUAAAUUUAUUUGAUUCUAAUAACCACCAUACGUCCGGCACAUACCUUGUAUUUAACAAACUACUGAAUUAAAUGACUAAUUAAAAGUCCCCUAGGCAUUCACCGACCAACUCGACAACCAUCAGAAACGCUCAUCAAAGUUGAUGACAAGAUGAUAAAAAAUGGCGUCCCGUGAAAAUUUUCACUUGAGUGCGUUAGGAGAUUAGCGGUUCCGUAUCGUUUGCAAUUGAUUUUUGUGUGAUUUGGUCCCGCUAUUUGCAUACGUCGAAGAAAGUCAACCGGAGUCAUCGUUUGUAUCUUUUGUACCACCAUGCACUCCUGCUCUAGCAAGCAGUUUUCCAUUCGGAACACGACAACUGAUGCCAAUAUCGAUCCACACAACCGUAUACUUCCCAUCGUCAAGAUCCAGCAGCGUCUAGAAGCCGAUCUAAAAGCCAAACACAACCGGAACUCGCAGAGGGCAUGUGGGAAUUGAGCAGCUCAUUGGAUAACUACAGGCACUGUUGAAUUUACUUCCACGUGACACGGAAGCACCAUUUGCCUUUUUCAGAAAAAAAUUUUUAAAGCUCUUUUCAGUGGAAUGUAUUCAACCGUCUAAGAUGAUUGCGUUUCAUAAGAUCAGCGGGAGAAUAAAAGAGACAACCAGUGCCACGCAACGCUGAUCUGUGCCACCUUAGUAAAGUCUAGCUCAUUGGAGUUAAGUAACCUUCAUUUAAUUCCACCAAUUAUUUCGAUAUCUUAGCAAAUACGUAUUUCGACCACAACUGUGUGGUCGUCUUCAGUGUCUCGUACUUGACUCGACUUACGAUAAUUGUUGGAAUUAAAUAGAGGCUACUUAACUCGUCUUAGACGGUUGACCAUUUGCCUACCAGCUUUCUUUUCGCAAAAAUAUGUUGCUUCAUCCGUCGGAUGACUCGCUGCCGCUAUCUAUGCAAUAAAGUACAGGAUCAGCAAAGGUCACUCCAAAAACCUCACAAAUUAUGCAAGCAAACAUUUAAUCAAUAAAUUAUCUGUCGUCCAUUA